CACUAACAUUUCUUCGUUAGUGUAAAACUGACACAUUUAUCAGACAGGGAUGCACUCCGUGUAGAUUCAAACCUGAAUGACAGAACCUCCAAAGACACGCUCAGACUGACAAAGGAGACGUAUUGCAAUGAAAGAUAGGCGUUAACCAAAGGCAGAUCUCCUUGAUUCCUCGAUUCCUCGAUCCUCUGGUUUUAUUUCCACACAUCUCUGGUGGGAGUGAAUGACGCAAGGAUGGACAUAAAGAGCUUUGAGAUCCACCCAUAGACUGCAUUAAACACAGGCACAAAAGCUCCCCUGCAGUGAUGCCAUGAGUUUCAGAACUCCCCCUGGUGACUGGCUGCAGUACGGGUCAUAAAGCAUGCCUCCUUCAUUAUAACAGACGGAUCAAACGAGAAAAUCAAAAUAAACAUCAAAUAAUUUUACUCAA